rnacentral:rRNA from 1 species
UGGUUAAGUUAGAAAGGGCGCACGGUGGAUGCCUUGACACUAGGAGUCGAUGAAGGACGGGACUAACGCCGAUAUGCUUCGGGGAGCUGUAAGUAAGCUUUGAUCCGAAGAUUUCCGAAUGGGGAAACCCACCAUACGUAAUGGUAUGGUAUCCUUAUCUGAAUACAUAGGGUAAGGAAGACAGACCCAGGGAACUGAAACAUCUAAGUACCUGGAGGAAGAGAAAGCAAAUGCGAUUUCCUGAGUAGCGGCGAGCGAAACGGAACAUAGCCCAAACCAAGAGGCUUGCCUCUUGGGGUUGUAGGACAUUCUAUACGGAGUUACAAAGGAACGAGGUAGACGAAGCGACCUGGAAAGGUCCGUCGUAGAGGGUAACAACCCCGUAGUCGAAACUUCGUUCUCUCUUGAAUGUAUCCUGAGUACGGCGGAACACGUGAAAUUCCGUCGGAAUCUGGGAGGACCAUCUCCCAAGGCUAAAUACUCCCUAGUGAUCGAUAGUGAACCAGUACCGUGAGGGAAAGGUGAAAAGCACCCCGGAAGGGGAGUGAAAGAGAUCCUGAAACCGUGUGCCUACAAAUAGUCAGAGCCCGUUAACGGGUGAUGGCGUGCCUUUUGUAGAAUGAACCGGCGAGUUACGAUCCCGUGCGAGGUUAAGCUGAAGAGGCGGAGCCGCAGCGAAAGCGAGUCUGAAUAGGGCGUUUAGUACGUGGUCGUAGACCCGAAACCAGGUGAUCUACCCAUGUCCAGGGUGAAGUUCAGGUAACACUGAAUGGAGGCCCGAACCCACGCACGUUGAAAAGUGCGGGGAUGAGGUGUGGGUAGCGGAGAAAUUCCAAUCGAACCUGGAGAUAGCUGGUUCUCCCCGAAAUAGCUUUAGGGCUAGCCUUAAGUGUAAGAGUCUUGGAGGUAGAGCACUGAUUGGACUAGGGGUCCUCAUCGGAUUACCGAAUUCAGUCAAACUCCGAAUGCCAAUGACUUAUCCUUAGGAGUCAGACUGCGAGUGAUAAGAUCCGUAGUCAAAAGGGAAACAGCCCAGACCGCCAGCUAAGGUCCCAAAGUGUGUAUUAAGUGGAAAAGGAUGUGGAGUUGCUUAGACAACUAGGAUGUUGGCUUAGAAGCAGCCACCAUUUAAAGAGUGCGUAAUAGCUCACUAGUCGAGUGACUCUGCGCCGAAAAUGUACCGGGGCUAAAUACACCACCGAAGCUGCGGAUUGAUACCAAUGGUAUCAGUGGUAGGGGAGCGUUCUAAGGACAGUGAAGUCAGACCGUAAGGACUGGUGGAGUGCUUAGAAGUGAGAAUGCCGGUAUGAGUAGCGAAAGACGGGUGAGAAUCCCGUCCACCGAAUGCCUAAGGUUUCCUGAGGAAGGCUCGUCCGCUCAGGGUUAGUCAGGACCUAAGCCGAGGCCGACAGGCGUAGGCGAUGGACAACAGGUUGAUAUUCCUGUACCACCUCUUUAUCGUUUGAGCAAUGGAGGGACGCAGAAGGAUAGAAGAAGCGUGCGAUUGGUUGUGCACGUCCAAGCAGUUAGGCUGAUAAGUAGGCAAAUCCGCUUAUCAUAAAGGCUGAGCUGUGAUGGGGAAGCUCCUUAUGGAGCGAAGUCUUUGAUUCCCCGCUGCCAAGAAAAGCUUCUAGCGAGAUAAAAGGUGCCUGUACCGCAAACCGACACAGGUAGGCGAGGAGAGAAUCCUAAGGUGUGCGAGAGAACUCUGGUUAAGGAACUCGGCAAAAUGACCCCGUAACUUCGGGAGAAGGGGUGCUUUCUUAACGGAAAGCCGCAGUGAAUAGGCCCAAGCGACUGUUUAGCAAAAACACAGCUCUCUGCGAAGCCGUAAGGCGAAGUAUAGGGGGUGACACCUGCCCGGUGCUGGAAGGUUAAGGAGAGGGGUUAGCGUAAGCGAAGCUCUGAACUGAAGCCCCAGUAAACGGCGGCCGUAACUAUAACGGUCCUAAGGUAGCGAAAUUCCUUGUCGGGUAAGUUCCGACCCGCACGAAAGGUGUAACGAUUUGGGCACUGUCUCAACCAGAGACUCGGUGAAAUUAUAGUACCUGUGAAGAUGCAGGUUACCCGCGACAGGACGGAAAGACCCCGUGGAGCUUUACUGUAGCCUGAUAUUGAAUUUUGGUACAGUUUGUACAGGAUAGGCGGGAGCCAUUGAAACCGGAGCGCUAGCUUCGGUGGAGGCGCUGGUGGGAUACCGCCCUGACUGUAUUGAAAUUCUAACCUACGGGUCUUAUCGACCCGGGAGACAGUGUCAGGUGGGCAGUUUGACUGGGGCGGUCGCCUCCUAAAGUGUAACGGAGGCGCCCAAAGGUUCCCUCAGAAUGGUUGGAAAUCAUUCGUAGAGUGCAAAGGCAUAAGGGAGCUUGACUGCGAGACCUACAAGUCGAGCAGGGACGAAAGUCGGGCUUAGUGAUCCGGUGGUUCCGCAUGGAAGGGCCAUCGCUCAACGGAUAAAAGCUACCCCGGGGAUAACAGGCUUAUCUCCCCCAAGAGUCCACAUCGACGGGGAGGUUUGGCACCUCGAUGUCGGCUCAUCGCAUCCUGGGGCUGUAGUCGGUCCCAAGGGUUGGGCUGUUCGCCCAUUAAAGCGGUACGCGAGCUGGGUUCAGAACGUCGUGAGACAGUUCGGUCCCUAUCCGUCGUGGGCGUAGGAAAUUUGAGAGGAGCUGUCCUUAGUACGAGAGGACCGGGAUGGACGCACCGCUGGUGUACCAGUUGUUCUGCCAAGGGCAUAGCUGGGUAGCUAUGUGCGGAAGGGAUAAGUGCUGAAAGCAUCUAAGCAUGAAGCCCCCCUCAAGAUGAGAUUUCCCAUAGCGUAAGCUAGUAAGAUCCCUGAAAGAUGAUCAGGUUGAUAGGUUCGAGGUGGAAGCAUGGUGACAUGUGGAGCUGACGAAUACUAAUAGAUCGAGGACUUAACCAU